rnacentral:rRNA from 1 species
UACGUAGGGGGCAAGCGUUGUCCGGAAUCAUUGGGCGUAAAGAGCGCGUAGGCGGCCCUGUAAGUCCGCUGUGAAAGUCAAGGGCUCAACCCUUGAAUGCCGGUGGAUACUGUCGGGCUAGAGUGCGGAAGAGGCGAGUGGAAUUCCUGGUGUAGCGGUGGAAUGCGCAGAUAUCAGGAGGAACACCGAUGGCGAAGGCAGCUCGCUGGGACGGUACUGACGCUGAGGCGCGAAAGCGUGGGGAGCGAACAGG